rnacentral:snoRNA from 1 species
GGUUGUGAUGAUAAUGCUUUUUAUUCUGACACCUCUUGUAUGAGAUGAAUCAACAAAUUCAUCUCUGUGCACAUUAAGCAACUCUAUGAGUC